AAGACUAUACUUUCAGGGAUCAUUUCUAUAGUUUCUAACUUGAGAAAUGUGUUUCUAAAGUGUUUGGUCCCGCCAACCACGAUGAUGAGUCGUGAUAUUUCCUUCUGAGCGUGAAGCUGACAGAGAGUAAUGAUUCACUUCAUAUGUUCUCUGUCAUUGAUGAUUGUUCUUUACUUCCUUGUGGAGUAUUGAGGAAGGGAAUAUGAUCAGAGUGGU
rnacentral:snoRNA from 1 species